rnacentral:rRNA from 1 species
UACGGGGGGUGCAAGCGUUAUUCGGAAUCAUUGGGCGUAAAGGGCGCGUAGGCGGCCUCUUAUGUCAGAUGUGAAAGCCCUCGGCUCAACCGAGGAAGUGCAUUUGAAACUGAGAGACUUGAGUAUGGGAGAGGGAAGCGGAAUUCCUGGUGUAGCGGUGAAAUGCGUAGAUAUCAGGAGGAACACCGGUGGCGAAGGCGGCUUCCUGGACCAAUACUGACGCUGAGGCGCGAAGGCGUGGGGAGCAAACAGG